AUGGAUCCGGUCUUGCACUGCACUGUUUCAAGCUUCAGUCAACAGUCUCGGAGCAAACGGAGCAGCAGGGAUUUCUGGGUGACUAAGCUACGCUCAUGUAGAAAUCCUGCUGCUCGUACGGAUGGGUUGGUUUUCUGGCCGAAGAGGCGGAAAUGUCUGCAGCUAAAUAGUUAUGUAACAGCACAUCCGGAGAGUGUGUGCUGCUUCAACCCUCCUGUGACCUACGCUCACCGCUAACAAGCUCGUCAAACGAGGCUGGGGUUUGCAUUGUUGACAGAAAAGAUGGCCGACGGGUUGGAUAUUUAACGGACUAAUCAGCCUUCGUGUCCGUGUUUUACAUUUGUACCUCGUAAAAUCUGCGUGUGAUGUGUUCAGGGACCUUCUAGAGAAUAGGCCAUAAAUGAUUUGAAGACAAAAAUUACGAGAGCACAAAUCCUUAAGUUGUAUUACAGUUGUUUAUUUUGAUUUAAACAUGCUUUUAAUACAUUUAUUAAAAGAAAAGUUCACUGCUGAAAAGCGAUCUCUUUGGCUGCUAAAAUAAUCUGCUUGACUGGCAGCUUCUUUCCCCAGUGACCAUUCGCCAGUCAGUCACCUCAGUCACUGAGCCACAAUGUUUACAUUAACUGUCUAGUGAACAAAUCAGGAAUCCGUGAACCCUGAACGUGGGAGUAUUUAAUCACGUCCCUAAUCUUUAUUGUAUUGUCAGCUGCGGUGAUGUCAUUUUCCCACAGCCCAGAGAGGAGGAGUGAAGUAAGGUUCUUGUGUGCCACUGAAUGCACCAAUCCAAUGGCCCGGUGAUAAAAGCGGGGCAGUCUAAAGCAUUCUUCUUCAGAAGAGACGUCGCUGCUCAACACACAACACACUGGCGGUGAACCUUCUUUCUGACCGUUUUUGUAGCAGUCUGCCACAAUGUCACGUCACCUUUAUCCUCAUACAUUAAAUGAGUCAUAUCAUGCUUUUCAUUCUAAAAAAUAUUAGACUUUAAUGUCUCAGUAAGGUCUCUGUAAAUUUUCAUCCCAUAAAACCCUUUAGAUCGUCCACACUGCCCCUGUCAAUGUGUGGUUUUCACUCUCCAUCAGCAAACGCUGUGUUUUGUGGGCGUGUCGCAAGCGAAGCUGCUCACCACACCUCUGUGCGGAAGCGCAUACCUUUUUUGUUGUUGUUUUUUUUUUAAAUUGGCUCCAUGGAUACGAGCCACCGCACGGUUAGGAUACAAUAGGUGGCAGUAGUGCGACAUUGAGAAUGCAAUCCACCGCAAUCCUCCACAGAAGAAGAAGACCCACUACAGGACUGCACGACGUUAGCCAGCCAGCUAGUUCGUAGCGUAGUAGAACCAUACGUCUACGAUCCCGAAUCUGACCCUGAAGCUGAAGAGGAGGCUGUUGAAGUCACCACAUUUCGGCUGAUGCAAGAUGUGUCUCAUUGGUAUUGGUAUGAAUGUCGCAUUUACUUCAAUUUAAUUGAUUUAUGUAAUUUGCAAAGCGACUAGCGGUUGCUAAUGCGAAUGCUAAAUGGCGUGUGCAGCUUCAAUAUUCACAACACGACUUACCUGGAAAACUCUCGUUAAUAGAUAACACUACUUUAGCUCACGUUAUACAAAUAAAUAAGUUUGAGAGCAUAGCUGAAAUAAUAUA
ensembl:lncRNA